UGGAAACCAUUUUGGUUUAGAAGUUUGUUAAUUUUGAAUCAAAUUUGGUUAUUUGGUAUUAGAGCUUGUUUUAAUGAGAAUUUUAAGUAAUUUUUUUACUAAAAAUGUUUAUUUUGAAGUUAUGUAUGUUAAAUAGAAUUAUUAUGAAUAUUUUUUUGCAUAAGGAUAGUAUGGUCAUUUUUGCAUCUUGUUCUGUCCAGUUCUAUUGUUAUCAAACAGUUUCAGACAAUUUGUUCAGUUCUAUCCAGUCUUACCAAACGCUAUACAAAUUAUUUGUCGAGUCCAGUCAUACUUUCAUUCUCAAAUAUAUCCGGCUCAUCCGGUUUUUGAGACCGUUUCAACCGAUCGGACCACUUGAACCAUUGAACUCGUAAGACAACAGGUGUUCGAAGUCGGGUACGGUUUUCAAAACCUUAGUUCCAAUAACAUUGCUCCAGAUAUCCACCGCCUUCUUCUUACCCCUUCUUCCCAAUCGUCUUAAUCUCUUCCCGAUUCUUCCACCGCCAUAUGUCCUCCUCCGAGAGGAGGUAUUUCUUCCAUACCCACUGAUUAUUCAAGACGAGAUCGAUGGAGACGACGAUGAUGAUUUGGAUUUUAGGUGCGUUGCCAUAGGGUUACCACAUGAGUUCAACACGUUCUGUUGUGGCUCUGCCAUCGCAUCUUCUACAGUUGGUGCUUAUGAGAUAAAAGAUGGAGCUACUGGAAAUACGGAAUGCAAUGUUUAAAAGGGGUUGAUCAAUCGGUGUAUUUUACACGCCUGCGACAGUUGGCACUUGAUUUCACUUUAAAACUUAUAAUCAAUCCUUGUGAAGAACAAGUUGUAUCAAGAGAGACAGAAAAAAAUAGUAAAAACACACCAACUAGAGAGGUGAUUGGCUUUAGUAAACACGUUUUGUGUUUUUAUUCCAGCUGCAUGAAUUUAUAAUUCAUCCAUUCCCAAUAAAUGUUUCUUUUUUAUAGGGAUUGUUAUUGGAAUAAUAAGUUUCUUGGUAUACUUCUAUAAAAAAUGUUGACCAACGGUUCAUGUAA